AACGAACGCUGGCGGCAUGCCUAACACAUGCAAGUCGAACGAGACCUUCGGGUCUAGUGGCGCACGGGUGCGUAACGCGUGGGAACCUGCCCUUAGGUUCGGAAUAACUCCCCGAAAGGGGUGCUAAUACCGGAUAAUGUCUUCGGACCAAAGAUUUAUCGCCUUUGGAUGGGCCCGCGUUGGAUUAGCUAGUUGGUAGGGUAAAAGCCUACCAAGGCGACGAUCCAUAGCUGGUCUGAGAGGAUGAUCAGCCACACUGGGACUGAGACACGGCCCAGACUCCUACGGGAGGCAGCAGUAGGGAAUAUUAGACAAUGGGCGAAAGCCUGAUCCAGCAAUGCCGCGUGAGUGAUGAAGGCCUUAGGGUUGUAAAGCUCUUUUACCCGGGAUGAUAAUGACAGUACCGGGAGAAUAAGCACCGGCUAACUCCGUG
rnacentral:rRNA from 1 species